rnacentral:rRNA from 1 species
GAUGAACGCUGGCGGCGUGCCUAACACAUGCAAGUCGAGCGAUUUACUUCGGUAAAGAGCGGCGGACGGGUGAGUAACGCGUGGGUAACCUGCCCUGUACACACGGAUAACAUACCGAAAGGUAUGCUAAUACGAGAUAAUAUGCUUUUAUCGCAUGGUAGAAGUAUCAAAGCUUUUGCGGUACAGGAUGGACCCGCGUCUGAUUAGCUAGUUGGUAAGGUAACGGCUUACCAAGGCGGCGAUCAGUAGCCGACCUGAGAGGGUGAUCGGCCACAUUGGAACGGAUACACGGUCCAAACUCCUACGGGAGGCAGCAGUGGGGAAUAUUGCACAAUGGGCGAAAGCCUGAUGCAGCAACGCCGCGUGAGCGAUGAAGGCCUUCGGGUCGUAAAGCUCUGUCCUCAAAGAAGAUAAUGACGGUACUUGAGGAGGAAGCCCCGGCUGACUACGUGCCAGCCGCCGCCGUAAAAC